UACGUAGGGGGCAAGCGUUAAUCGGAAUUACUGGGCGUAAAGCGUGCGCAGGCGGUGAUGUAAGACAGGUGUGAAAUCCCCGGGCUCAACCUGGGAACUGCAUUUGUGACUGCACAGCUGGAGUGCGGCAGAGGGGGAUGGAAUUCCGCGUGUAGCAGUGAAAUGCGUAGAUAUGCGGAGGAACACCGAUGGCGAAGGCAAUCCCCUGGGCCUGCACUGACGCUCAUGCACGAAAGCGUGGGGAGCAAACAGG
rnacentral:rRNA from 1 species